GAUGAAGAACGUAGCGAAAUGCGAUAAGUAAUGUGAAUUGCAGAAUUCAGUGAAUCACCGAAUCUUUGAACGCACCUUGCGCCCUUUGGCUAUUCCGAAGGGCAUGCCUGUUUGAGUAUCAUGAACACCUCAACUCUCAUGGCUUGCCAUGAUGAGCUUGGACUUUUGGGGGUCUUGCUGGCCUGUGGUCAGCUCCUCUCAAAUGAAUUAGCCUGCCAGUGUUUGGGGGCAUCACAGGUGUGAUAACUAUCUACGCUUGUGGUUUUCCACCAGGUAACCUUCAGUGAUGAAGGUUCGCUGGGGCUCAUAAACGUCUCUCCUCAGUGAGGACAGCUCUUUGAACGUUUGAUCUCAAAUCAGGUAGGACUACCCGCUGAACUUAAGCAUAUCAAUAAGCGGAGGA
rnacentral:misc_RNA from 1 species